rnacentral:tRNA from 1 species
UUAUAGAUAAGCUAACUUAAGCUUUUAGACUCAUACUCUGACAAUAUAAAUAAUUUUAUUCUAUAAA